GACGAACCGAGCGAACGUUAUUCGGAAUCACUGGGCUUAAAGGGCGCGUAGGCGGGCGGCCAAGUCAGGGGUGAAAGCCCCAGCUCAACCUGGGGAAGUGCCUUUGAUACUGGUCAUCUCGAGGAGAUAGGGCGUGCGGAACUUCCGGUGGAGCGGUGAAAUGCGUAGAUAUCGGAAGGAACACCGGUGGCGAAAGCGGCGUGCUGGACCCCUUCGUCGACGCUGAGGCGCGAAAGCCAGGGGAGCAACGGG
rnacentral:rRNA from 1 species